rnacentral:rRNA from 1 species
AUUGAACGCUGGCGGCAGGCUUAACACAUGCAAGUCGAGCGGAAACGAUGGGAGCUUGCUCCCAGGCGCCGAGCGGCGGACGGGUGAGUAACACUUAGGAAUCUACCUAGUAGUGGGGGAUAGCUCGGGGAAACUCGAAUUAAUACCGCAUACGUCCUACGGGAGAAAGGGGGCAACUUGUUGCUCUCGCUAUUAGAUGAGCCUAAGUCGGAUUAGCUAGUUGGUGGGGUAAAGGCCUACCAAGGCGACGAUCUGUAGCUGGUCUGAGUGGAUGAUCAGCCACACUGGAACUGAGACACGGUCCAGACUCCUACGGGAGGCAGCAGUGGGGAAUAUUGCACAAUGGGCGCAAGCCUGAUGCAGCCAUGCCGCGUGUAUGAAGAAGGCCUCGGUUGU